AGUAACGGCGAGUGAAGAGGAAAGAGCUCAAAGUUGGAACCUGUUUGGCUUAGCUAAACCGGAUUGUAAACUGUAGAAGUGUUUUCCAGACACGCCUGGUAAAAAAGUCCUUUGGAACAGGGCAUCAUAGAGGGUGAGAAUCCCGUCUUUGGCCAGAGCUGUUGUCUUUUGUGAUACAUUUUCAAAGAGUCAGGUUGUUUGGGAAUGCAGCCUAAAUUGGGUGGUAAAUCUCACCUAAAGCUAAAUAUUUGCGAGAGACCGAUAGCGAACAAGUACCGUGAGGGAAAGAUGAAAAGAACUUUGAAAAGAGAGUUAAACAGUAUGUGAAAUUGUUAAAAGGGAACCGUUUGGAGCCAGACUGGCUUGACUGUAAUCAAUCUAGGCUUCGGCCUGGAUGCACUUGCGGUUUAUGCCUGCCAACGACAAUUUUUUUUGAGGGAAAAAACUAUUUGGAAUGUGGCCCUCCCUCGGGGGGGUGUUAUAGCCUUUUAGAAAAUACCUUGAAUUGGAUUGAGGAACGCAGUGAAUGCCUUUAGGCAAGAUUGCUGGGCGCUUUCGCUAAUAAAUGCUAGAAUUUCUGCUUCGGGUGGUGCUAGUGUUUAAAGGAGAAACUCGUCUGGUAUAUUU
rnacentral:rRNA from 1 species